rnacentral:rRNA from 1 species
AAAGGUAAGCUACUAAGAGCGAAUGGUGGAUGCCUUGACUGGUAAAGGCGAUGAAGGACGUACUAGACUGCGAUAAGCUACGGGGAGCUGUCAAGAAGCUUUGAUCCGUAGAUUUCCGAAUGGGGCAACCCAAUGUAUAGAGAUAUACAUUACCUAUAUAGGAGCGAACGAGGGGAAUUGAAACAUCUUAGUACCCUCAGGAAAAGAAAUCAAUAGAGAUUGCGUCAGUAGCGGCGAGCGAAAGCGCAAGAGGGCAAACCCAGUGCUUGCACUGGGGGUUGUAGGACUGCAAUGUGCAAGAGCUGAGUUUAGCAGAACAUUCUGGAAAGUAUAGCCAUAGAGGGUGAUAGUCCCGUAUGCGAAAAACAAAGCUUAGCUAGCAGUAUCCUGAGUAGGGCGGGACACGAGGAAUCCUGUCUGAAUCCGGGUCGACCACGAUCCAACCCUAAAUACUAAUACCAGAUCGAUAGUGCACAAGUACCGUGAGGGAAAGGUGAAAAGAACUGAGGUGAUCAGAGUGAAAUAGAACCUGAAACCAUUUGCUUACAAUCAUUCA